rnacentral:rRNA from 1 species
UACGUAGGGUGCAAGCGUUGUCCGGAAUUAUUGGGCGUAAAGAGCUCGUAGGCGGUUUGUCGCGUCUGCUGUGAAAACCCGAGGCUCAACCUCGGGCCUGCAGUGGGUACGGGCAGACUAGAGUGCGGUAGGGGAGAUUGGAAUUCCUGGUGUAGCGGUGGAAUGCGCAGAUAUCAGGAGGAACACCAAUGGCGAAGGCAGAUCUGCUGGCCGUAACUGACGCUGAGGAGCGGAAAGCAUGGGGAGCGAACAGG